UACGAAGGGGGCUAGCGUUGUUCGGAAUUACUGGGCGUAAAGCGCACGUAGGCGAAUAUUUAAGUCAGGGGUGAAAUCCCAGAGCUCAACUCUGGAACUGCCUUUGAUACUGGGUAUCUUGAGUAUGGAAGAGGUAAGUGGAAUUGCGAGUGUAGAGGUGAAAUUCGUAGAUAUUCGCAGGAACACCAGUGGCGAAGGCGGCUUACUGGUCCAUAACUGACGCUGAGGUGGCGAAAGCGUGGGGAGCAAGCAGG
rnacentral:rRNA from 1 species